rnacentral:rRNA from 1 species
UAAAGGAAUUGGCGGGGGAGCACCGCAACGGGAGGAGCGUGCGGUUUAAUUGGAUUCAACGCCGGAAAACUCACCNGGGGGCGACUGUUACAUGAAGGCCAGUUCAAAGACUUUGCCUGAUUUUCAGAGAGGUGGUGCAUGGCCGUCGUCAGUUCGUACCGCAAGGCGUUCUGUUAAGUCAGAUAACGAACGAGACCCCUUUCCUUAUUUGCCAUGUCUUCCUUCGGGAAGGCGGCACUAUAAGGAGACCGCCGUCGCUAAGACGGAGGAAGGAGGGGGCAACGGNAGGUCAGUAUGCCCCGAAUCCCCCGGGCUACACGCGCGCUACAAAGGCUGGGACAAUGGGCUCCGACUCCGAGAGGGGAAGGUAAUCCCGAAACCCAGCCGUAGUUCGGAUCGAGGGUUGAAACUCACCCUCGUGAAGCCGGAAUCCGUAGUAAUCGCGGGUCAAAAUGGCGCGGUGAAUACGUCCCUGCUCCUUGCACACACCGCCA